UACGUAGGGGGCAAGCGUUGUCCGGAUUUAUUGGGCGUAAAGAACGUGUAGGCGGCCAAGCAGGUCAGCUGUGAAAACUCGAGGCUCAACCUCGAGACGUCGGUUGAAACCGCUUGGCUAGAGUCCGGAAGAGGAGAGUGGAAUUCCCGGUGUAGCGGUGAAAUGCGCAGAUAUCGGGAAGGACACCCGUGGCGAAGGCGGCUCUCUGGGACGGUACUGACGCUGAGACGCGAAAGCGUGGGGAGCGAACAGG
rnacentral:rRNA from 1 species